GACGAACGCUGGCGGCGUGCCUAAUACAUGCAAGUAGAACGCACAGUUUAUACCGUAGCUUGCUACACCAUAGACUGUGAGUUGCGAACGGGUGAGUAACGCGUAGGUAACCUGCCUGGUAGCGGGGGAUAACUAUUGGAAACGAUAGCUAAUACCGCAUAAUAUUAAUUAUUGCAUGAUAAUUAAUUGAAAGGUGCAAUUGCACCACUACCAGAUGGACCUGCGUUGUAUUAGCUAGUAGGUGAGGUAACGGCUCACCUAGGCGACGAUACAUAGCCGACCUGAGAGGGUGAUCGGCCACACUGGGACUGAGACACGGCCCAGACUCCUACGGGAGGCAGCAGUAGGGAAUCUUCGGCAAUGGACGAAAGUCUGACCGAGCAACGCCGCGUGAGUGAAGAAGGUUUUCGGAUCGUAAAGCUCUGUUGUAAGAGAAGAACGGGUGUGAGAGUGGAAAGUUCACACUAUGACGGUAUCUUACCAGAAAGGGACGGCUAACUACGUG
rnacentral:rRNA from 1 species